AUGCGCGCCUAGUCAUGGCGGCUCGGCGAUGAAGACGGAGGCAGACACCAAAUCUGUGAUCUCCUCCAGCCCCGUCGUUUUUUUAAUCAAUUGAUGACGUAACCCGCAGCACCUAAUUACACUACCCAUAUAAAUUUUGUCUUGUACUCUUAGUGGUUGUUUGGAUACCAAUAAUAAAACCUGAGAUUUAAGAAAACAAGUUUUAGGAGUGUUUUUUGGAAAACCUGUUUUAAGGGAGAAUUUUCGUUACCGGGAGUUUCUGGAAUAACUCGUUUGGGUGAGAAAACGUUAAAACAAGUUUUGGUAAAAGCGUGUUUGGAUUAGUUAGUACUCUGUAGACGCCGCUUACUUUCCCCUGUGUCUCUCUGAACUCAAGUCGCCUCCGCUUCUUCCCCAAAUCGCCGCCGCAGCUUACCGUCUCUGUUCCUCGAGGAGCUCGACCUAGCCCAAGCUCCCCACGCCAUCAACGGCUCCGGUGACCGCCGCCACGGCGACAAAGCCAUACGGUUGCGCGGCUGUCGCUUCCCGUUCCACUCUCCUCACACCGUCAACGGCCACGGCUCCGGCGACCGACGCCACCACGGCGAUGCCGUAUGGUUCCGCGGCGUGCAGUGCAGACGUGGGGCAUUCCAUCUGUUCUUCACGGCGGAGGCCUACCGGCGGGGAAGAAGGGCACGCUAUCGCGGUGGACGACUCGCGACUGUGGUUGGUGGCGGAGGACAAAAUCCGCCUCCAUCUUCUAGACCCUUCACUACCGAGGCAUCCAGGGAGUCCAGAGCGUGCUCGACGCAGUCCGAACUACUUCCAGUGGAUGAGUGUGAGCUGCCCUCUUCGUGGCAUGCUGGAUCUGGGACUAUGGUGACAGACUCUUCAUUCAGAUAAUGUGAGGUUGAUGAUAAAACAUGGAGAUAUGUACUGACGCAAAGAGCAACAUUGCAUCAUUGCUGUUUAAACCAAUGAACCAAAAGGAAAGGCUCAUGAAGAUUGAUUUCUUGCUGCAAACAAGUCGAUGAAGGUAGCUCUUGUUGUCCCAGCAGGGUCAGCGGCGUCUGAUUGGAGAUCUCAGCCUAGCGUCGAUGGCCAGAAGAUCGAUGAUCACAGCCGUUAUCGGCGACCAGCCAUGGAAGAAGCACGUACCCAGAUCCUGUUUAUUGAUGUUUGUUAUGCCGGCAUCCCUAUAUAUAUAUAGAAGCUUGGAAAAAAGGGCGCGUGCUAGUUGCGCGGGAAGGCACAGUUGGUGCCAACAAGUUUGUUGAGGAAGACGUGGAGGGAAAAAAAUGUCUGUUUUAUGUAACCAGGUUUCUAUAAAAACGAGUAUUAGUCGUUUUUCACUAGACGCACUUUCCUGGCUUUGUGGAAACCGAAUUCUGCUUAUCCACAAUUCUGUUGGGCCACCCAAACGUGGUUUUAGUUUGUUACACGGUUAGAUCAGAUUACGGGAAA